ensembl:snoRNA
UCUGGUGAUGAUGACACACUUGCCCUCACUGAGAAUACUAUUCUAUAAUGAGAACACUAUUGUACUCAACUAACCCUGAACCAGA